rnacentral:rRNA from 1 species
CAGCAGCCGCGGGAAUACGAAGGGGGCUAGCGUUGCUCGGAAUGACUGGGCGUAAAGGGCGCGUAGGCGGCGGCCAAAGUCAGGCGUGAAAUUCCUGGGCUCAACCUUGGGGCUGCGCUUGAUACUUGGUUGCUUGAGUGGGGAAGAGGGUCGUGGAAUUCCCAGUGUAGAGGUGAAAUUCGUGGAUAUUGGGAAGAACACCGGUGGCGAAGGCGGCGACCUGGUCCUUGACUGACGCUGAGGCGCGAAAGCGUGGGGAGCAAACAGGAUUAGAUACCCCUGUAGUCCCUGUCUCUUAUAC